GGGCGCUGGGGACCUGCCCCUUGCCCGGCGCGGGCACAGAGCUCCGCUGCACCGCCACAUCCCCGGGAUCGGAGGAGAAUCAGAUCCGCGGGGCGCAAACCCCUAGGUCCCGGGCGCCCGAGCUCCCCACACACUGGCAGCCGUGGUGGGCACCGGGUCCCCCCCACGGCCACUGGACAGAUGUGCAGACGAGAGGCCCAGCGCUGACCUGGAUCCUGAAGCAAGAGGGACAUCCCAGAUGGGGUCCUCCCUGAGGGUGCCCGGACCUCAGGUCCCACCAGAGAUGGCGGAGGAGGAGACAGCACGAGGAAGGCCAGGGCUGAGCAAUGGUGAAUUCAUGAGAAGCACAGGAGUCUGAGAGGUAACCACAGCAACCACAAUGAUGACCAACCCCGUCCCACUCUGCACCUGGAUUCUAAAGCAGCCCUCACUGCAGUGCCGUAGCAACCCCACGAGGAGGGGCCACCCGCCCUUCUGGAUCGGACAUGGGUUCCUAUUGGUCUCCACAAAGCCCAAAUCAAUAAGUGUGGGUACAGGUACUUGUGGAUGCCCAAGGACUCUGGUUUGGCCGGAGGAGAGUUUUGUGAAAAAAUAAAUAAAGCACCGUGUCGACUGCUCGCUUCCUGGGAC
rnacentral:lncRNA from 1 species